rnacentral:rRNA from 1 species
CCCUUAGAUGUUCUGGGCCGCACGCGCGCUACACUGACGAAUGCAACGAGCUUAUAACCUUGGCCGAAAGGUCUGGGUAAUCUCCAAAUUUCGUCGUGAUGGGGAUAGAUUAUUGCAAUUAUUAAUCUUCAACGAGGAAUGCCUAGUAAGCGCAAGUCAUCAGCUUGCGUUGAUUACGUCCCUGCCCUUUGUACACACCGCCCGUCGCUCCUACCGAUUGAAUGGUCCGGUGAAGCGUUCGGACCGUGGCCUUUGGACGGUUCGCCGUCUGUUGGCUUCGGGAAGUUCGUUAAACCUUAUCAUUUAGAGGAAGGAGAANUCGUANCA